AUUGAACGCUGGCGGCAGGCCUAACACAUGCAAGUCGAGCGGAUGAAGGGAGCUUGCUCCUGGAUUCAGCGGUGGACGGGUGAGUAAUGCCUAGGAAUCUGCCUGGUAGUGGGGGAUAACGUCCGGAAACGGGCGCUAAUACCGCAUACGUCCUGAGGGAGAAAGUGGGGGAUCUUCGGACCUCACGCUAUCAGAUGAGCCUAGGUCGGAUUAGCUAGUUGGUGGGGUAAAGGCCUACCAAGGCGACGAUCCGUAACUGGUCUGAGAGGAUGAUCAGUCACACUGGAACUGAGACACGGUCCAGACUCCUACGGGAGGCAGCAGUGGGGAAUAUUGGACAAUGGGCGAAAGCCUGAUCCAGCCAUGCCGCGUGUGUGAAGAAGGUCUUCGGAUUGUAAAGCACUUUAAGUUGGGAGGAAGGGCAGUAAGUUAAUACCUUGCUGUUUUGACGGUACCAACAGAAUAAGCACCGGCUAACUUCGUG
rnacentral:rRNA from 1 species